rnacentral:lncRNA from 1 species
UGUUGAGCAUGGACUGCAAUGCAACAGAAGGCCAUGAUGAAGACCAGCAGCUGCAGCAGACCAGCAUUCAAGCAGGACCAGAAGUAGCUAAAUUAUUUUGUUUACUUUUGUUCAUUUUGUAAUGCCAUCCAAACUAAACAUAACUAGACUUUUAGAGUUGUUAAGAUUUGAAUUGAUGGAUGUAAUAGCUAAAAUUUUUUAGCUUUCUUUUGUAUUACUUUAGUUGACAACUUGCCAAAAUAGGUGGGAGCAGUUACAAGUUUAGGUAACUGACAUUCUAAUUUUGUAACUCAUAUAUUUUCAAAUGAAAUGAAAAGAAGUAGCAUUCCAUUCAUUUUACAUUUUUUUUUGCUUUUUGAGUUUUCUGUUCUGUUUUCUGCUUGCUGCUCGUGAGCUUAUGCUCUUGGUGUUUUCAUUUGUUUGAUUUGCUGCUGCCAUUGUUCCAACAAAUGGUAAUCAGAGCCUCCUAUCUUUGAGGACCUCUGUUGUUUAUGUUUUAGUCUUUUUUCAAAGUCAGUCUUGGCAGCAUGAGUUUUGCUCCUCCUCCACCACCAGUUUUUGCUGGAGACAACUACCACAUUUGGGUUGUCAAAAUGAAGACAUAUCUUCAAGCACUUGACCUCUGGAGUGCAGUUGAGAGUGAUGUCGAACCAGCACCAUUAAGAGCAAAUCCUACCAUUGCUCAGAUCAGGCAACAUGGUGAGGAACGAGCCAAGAAACACAAAGCUAUGGCCUGUUUGCAGAAUGGAAUAUCAGAUGUUAUUUUCACUCGUAUAAUGGCCUGUGACUCUCCCAAGCAGGCAUGGGACAGGCUAAAAGAGGAAUUUAUGGGAUCAGACAAGACCAGGCAGCAACAAGUCAUCAACCUUAGAAGGGAGUUUGAAAAUUUGAAGAUGAAGGAGUCAGAAACUAUCAAGCAAUAUUCUGAUAGGAUUAUGGCUACUGUCAACAAUAUUAGACUCCUUGGAGAAGAUUUCAGUGAUAGCAGGGUUGUUGAGAAGGUUAUUACCACCUUACCUGAAAGGUUUGAGUCAAAAAUCUCCUCAUUGGAGGACUCGAGAGAUCUCACAACCAUUUCUUUGUCUGAGUUGGUUAACUCACUCUAUGCACUUGAACAGAGAAGAGCAAGUAGGCAGGAGGAGAGUCUUGAAGGUGCUUUUCAAGCAAAGGUCAGAGAAGGCUCCAGCUCAAGCCAGAAAGCUAAGAAGCCUUGGUUUGAAAAGAAGGAAAAAUCAAAGAAAGAUGCCGGUAGAAGGAGGUUUCCACCAUGCAUUCACUGCAAGAAGACCAAUCACCUGGAAAAAUUUUGCUGGACCAGACCAGAUAUACAGUGUAGAAGCUGUAAGAAGUAUGGUCAUCAUGAGAAAAUCUGUAGAAGUCAUGAGAAGGCACAAGCACAACAAGUUCAAGCCAAGUCUGCCGAGGAUGUCCAAGCUCAGGAGGAGCAUGUAUUUACAGCUUCAUGUUAUGCAGCCAAAAGCAUGAGCAGCUGGCUUGUGGAUAGUGGCUGCUCACACCACAUGGCUGCAGAUGAGAGCCUUUUCAAGAAUCUUGACAGGAGCUAUGUCUCGAAGGUCAGGAUAGGCAAUGGCAACUUGAUUGAAGCAAAAGGUAGAGGUGAUGUGGUCAUUCACACUGGUUCAGGUAACAAAAUCAUUUCUGAUGUGCUCUAUGUGCCAGAAAUAGACCAAAAUUUACUCAGUGUAGGCCAGCUAGUCAAGAAAGGCUUUUCACUAGUUUUCAAGAAUGAUUCUUGUGUUAUAAGUGAUGCUCAUGGAAGGGAGAUUGUCUCAGCACCUAUGGGAGAUAAAUGUUUUAUGCUGGAAGUGAGUCAGCUUGAGAAAAGUGCAUAUACAAGCUCAGUUGACAAUACUGAUCUUUGGCACAAGAGGUUUGGCCAUGUUAGCCUCAAAUCACUUGAUUUGCUGCACAAAAUGAACAUGACAGUAGACAUGGUGAAGUUUAGUGCAAGUGAAGGCGUUUGUGAGGUGUGUCAGCUUGGCAAACAAGCCAGGUUGCCCUUUUCAGCUAACCAAGCAUGGAGGGCUCGAGAAAGACUUGAGUUGGUACACUCAGAUGUCUGUGGACCAAUGAAGACCCCUUCACUGAAUGGCAGUAAGUAUUUUAUACUGUUUAUUGAUGAUCUAACCAGAUUUUGCUGGGUUUAUUUCAUGAAACAGAAGUCAGAAGUGUUUGAAGUUUUUAGAAAGUUCAAGGCAUUGGCAGAAAAUCAAACAGGCUGCAGGAUUAAGGCCUUGAGGACAGACAAUGGUUCUGAAUACUUGUCUGAAAGAUUUGAGAAGCUAUGUGAGCAGGCUGGGAUUCAUCAUCAGUUAACCACAGUGUACACUCCUCAGCAAAAUAGAGUGUGUGAGAGGAAGAACAGAACAGUGAUGAACAUGACCAGGUGCAUGUUGUUUCAAAGCAAGCUUCCAAGCAUUUUUUGGGCUGAAGGUGUCAACACCUCAGUAUACCUGCUCAAUAGGCUGCCAACACAUGCUGUGAAUGAUAAAACUCCUUUUGAAGUAUGGUAUGAUCUUAAACCAACUGUUUCUCAUUUAAAAGUGUUUGGUUGCAAGUGUUUUGUACUUGUCCCUGUAGAAAAAAGAACCAAGCUCGAGAAGAGGUCAGUUCCUGGUAUAUUUGUUGGUUACAGUAGCUGCAAGAAGGGCUACAGAGUAUUUGAUCCUUCAACCAAGAAGAUUUUGGUAAGCAGGGAUGUCAAAUUCGAUGAAGGAAGGUUUUGGAGUCUAGAUGACUCUAACACAAGUCAGUUUGAAGAAGAGCAGAUUAGCAGCAAUUUGGAAUUGGCAGAAAAUGAAGUCAGUAAUGCCAAUGUAGAUGAUGCUCCUGUGAGAGGGACCAGGUCUAUUGCUGAUAUCUAUCAAAGGUGCAAUGUGGCCAUUGUUGAGCCUUCAAGCUAUGAAGAAGCUGCUAGAAGCAAGAGCUGGAAGAAGGCUAUGGAGGCUGAAAUCGACAUGAUCCAUAAGAAUGAUACUUGGGAUCUGGUAGACAGACCAGAUCAGAAGAAAGUCAUAGGUGUCAAGUGGGUUUUUAGGACCAAAUUCAAUGCAGAUGGCUCUCUGAACAAGCACAAGGCAAGGCUUGUGGUGAAAGGGUACAAUCAACAGUUUGGCAUUGAUUUUGAGGAGACAUUUGCUCCAGUGGCAAGGCUGGAUACCAUAAAGCUUCUAUUUGCUUUCGCUGCACAGAAACAGUGGAAGGUCCAUCAGCUUGAUGUCAAGUCAGCUUUCCUGAAUGGCCUUCUUAAAGAAGAAAUUUAUGUUGAACAGCCUGAUGGAUUUAAAGUCCAAGGAAAGGAGAACAAGGUUUACAAGCUGAAGAAGGCACUCUAUGGACUAAAACAGGCUCCUCGAGCCUGGUAUGACAGGAUAGAUGCUUACCUGUUUAGGCUCAAUUUCGAGAAAAGUUUGAGUGAGCCAACUUUGUUUAUAAAGAAGUCUAAAGAUGAGACUUUGCUGAUUGUCUCAAUAUAUGUGGAUGAUCUAUUAGUGACUGGAAGCAGGGUCGAUUUGAUUCAGGAGUUCAAGAAGAAUAUGCAAAACAUGUUUGACAUGACAGACUUGGGAAUCAUGACUUACUUCCUUGGUAUGGAAGUAGACCAGACUGAUCAAGGCAUUUUUAUCAGCCAGCAUGCAUUUGCCUUGAAAAUUCUCACUAAGUUCCAUAUGGAAAAUUGCAAGCCAGUGGGUACACCUUUAGUCAUGGGACAGAAGUUGAGCAGCUAUGGAGAUGAAGAAAAGGUGGAUGAAAGAGAGUAUAGAAGUCUAAUUGGAUGUUUGCUAUACUUGACAGCAACUAGACCUGACCUUAUGCAUUCGGUCAGUUUGCUAUCUCGUUUUAUGCAUAGCUGCAACACAUCACAUUUAAAAGCUGCAAAGAGAAUCCUCAGGUAUGUGAAAGGAUCCUUGAAGUUUGGAGCGAUGUUCAAGAUAGGAGGUCAGCUGAAGUUAUCUGGUUACUCAGACAGUGACUGGGGAGGUUCGAUUGAUGAUAUGAGGAGUACCUCAGGCUACCUCUUUUCUCUUGGUUCAGGAGCUUUCUGUUGGAGCUCUAGAAAACAGCAAACUGUUGCUCAAUCAACUGCUGAGGCAGAGUACAUAGCAGCAGCUGGAGCAGUAAGCCAAGCCAUUUGGCUUAGAAAAUUGUUGUGUGACUUGAAUGAGGAACAAUUUGAGCCUACUGAGAUUAUGGUUGAUAAUCAAUCAGCAAUAGCUAUCUCCAAGAAUGCUGUUUUUCAUGGCAAAACAAAGCACUUUAAGCUCAAAUUUUAUUUUGUUCGAGAGGCAGUACAAUCAAAGGAUGUGAAUCUUGCAUAUUGUAGUUCACAAGAUCAAUUGGCUGACAUUUUGACAAAGCCUCUUGGUGCUAUGAGGUUUGAAAUUCUUAGAGAUUUAGUUGGUGUUUGUUGCCUACAGUCCAAGGAGGAGUGUUGAGCAUGGACUGCAAUGCAACAGAAGGCCAUGAUGAAGACCAGCAGCUGCAGCAGACCAGCAUUCAAGCAGGACCAGAAGUAGCUAAAUUAUUUUGUUUACUUUUGUUCAUUUUGUAAUGCCAUCCAAACUAAACAUAACUAGACUUUUAGAGUUGUUAAGAUUUGAAUUGAUGGAUGUAAUAGCUAAAAUUUUUUAGCUUUCUUUUGUAUUACUUUAGUUGACAACUUGCCAAAAUAGGUGGGAGCAGUUACAAGUUUAGGUAACUGACAUUCUAAUUUUGUAACUCAUAUAUUUUCAAAUGAAAUGAAAAGAAGUAGCAUUCCAUUCAU